AUGAACGCUGGCGGCGUGCUUUAGGCAUGCAAGUCGAACGCCCCAUUAGAUGACCGCAAGGCUAUCUAACGGGGAGUGGCGGACGGGUGAGUAACGCGUAGGAAUCUACCUCUGGGUGGACCAUAGCUCAUCGAAAGAUGGGGUAAUAGUCCAUAGUGUCCGAUGUAACAUUCGGACUAAAGCAUUAACUUUGCGCCGAGAGAUGAGCCUGCGUCCUAUCAGCUAGUUGGUGGGGUAAAAGCCUACCAAGGCAAUGACGGGUAGCUGGACUGAGAGGUCGAUCGGCCACAACUGCACUGAGACACGGGCAGUACACCUACGGGUGGCAGCAACUAGGAAUAUUGCGCAAUGGGGGAAACCCUGACGCAGCGACGCCGCGUGGAGGAAGAAGGCCUUAGGGUUGUAAACUCCUUUUGCCAAGCCCAUCACAGCUUGGCGAAUAAGCCUCUACUAACUACGUGCCAGAAGUCUCGGUAAUACGUAGGAGGCAAGCGUUAUCCGGAUUUAUUGGGCGUAAAGUGUGCGUAGGCGCCCCGAUGAGUCGCACUUAAAAUACUAAGGCUCAACCUUAGGGCUAGGUGCGAUACUAUCGGGGUUGAGGAUUGGCAGGGAUGCUGGAACAGUAAGUGUAGCAGUGAAAUGCGUUGAUAUUUACUGGAACACCAAAGGCGAAGGCAGGCAUCUGGGCUUUUCCUGACGCUGAGGCACGAAAGCUAGGUUAGCGAAACAGAUUAGAGACCUGUGUAGUCCUAGCCGUAAACGAUGUCCGCUAACUCUCUCUAGUUUACUGGAGGGGGUGUAAGCUAACGCGUUAAGCGGACCGCCUGGGGAGUACGGCCGCAAGGCUAAAACUCAAAGGAAUUGACGGGGACCCGCACAACCGGUGGAGCGUGUGGUUCAAUUCGAGACGAAACGAAGAACCUCACCAGGGUUUGACAUGUUACCGUUUAUUCUGAAGGAAACUUCGGGAAAUCCGUAAGGAUGGUAACACAGGUGCUGCAUGGCUGUCGUCAGCUCGUGCCGUGAGGUGUUCCCUUAAGUGGGGAAACGAGCGCAACCCCCGCCAAAUGUUAAAUUAUUCAUUUGGGACGGUCCCGACUUUACGUCGGGAAGGAAGGAGGGGAAGACGUCAAGUCAGCACGGCCCUUAUACCCUGGGCUACACACACACUACAAUGGCGAAAAACAAUGGGUUGCAAGCGCGCAAGUGCAAGCUAAUCCCUUAAAUUUCGCCCCAGUUCAGAUUGGGGUCUGAAACCCGACCCCAUGAAGUCGGAAUCGGUAGUAAUCGCGGAUCAGCAAGCCGCGGUGAAUACGUUCUCGGGUCUUGUACACACCGC
rnacentral:rRNA from 1 species